rnacentral:rRNA from 1 species
AGGAUGAACGCUGGCGGCGUGCCUAACACAUGCAAGUCGAACGUCCUGUCUCGCAAGAGGCAGGGAGUGGCGGACGGGUGAGUACCACGUGGGUCAUCUACCGUGAGGUGAGGAAUACCGGCGAGAAAUCGCCGACAAGACCGCAUAGGCUCGAUGCAAGUCGAGCAAAGCUCUUUCGAGAGAGGGAGCGCCACACGAGGAGCCUGCGCCCGAUUAGCUAGCUGGUGGAGUAACGGUUCACCAGGGCGACGAUCGGUAGCUGGUCUGAGAGGACGAUCAGCCACACUGGGAUUGAGAACGGCCCAGACUCCUACGGGGGCAGCAGUGAGGAAUUUUCGUCAAUGGGGGCAACCCUGAACGAGCAACGCCGCGUGCAGGAAGAAGGUUUCGGAUCGUAAACUGCUUUUCUCGGGGAAGAGAACGGACGGUACCCGAGGAAUCAGCCCGGCUAACUACGUGCCAGCAGCCGC